rnacentral:rRNA from 1 species
UACGUAGGUGGCAAGCGUUGUCCGGAAUUAUUGGGCAUAAAGCGCGCGCAGGUGGUUCCUUAAGUCUGAUGUGAAAGCCCACGGCUCAACCGUGGAGGGUCAUUGGAAACUGGGGAACUUGAGUGCAGAAGAGGAAAGUGGAAUUCCAAGUGUAGCGGUGAAAUGCGUAGAGAUUUGGAGGAACACCAGUGGCGAAGGCGACUUUCUGGUCUGUAACUGACACUGAGGCGCGAAAGCGUGGGGAGCAAACAGG